UACGAAGGGGGCUAGCGUUGCUCGGAAUCACUGGGCGUAAAGGGUGCGUAGGCGGGUCUUUAAGUCAGGGGUGAAAUCCUGGAGCUCAACUCCAGAACUGCCUUUGAUACUGAAGAUCUUGAGUUCGGGAGAGGUGAGUGGAACUGCGAGUGUAGAGGUGAAAUGCGCAGAUAUCAGGAAGAACACCCGUGGCGAAGGCGGCUUUCUGGGACGGUACUGACGCUGAGACGCGAAAGCGUGGGGAGCGAACAGG
rnacentral:rRNA from 1 species